CUGAAUUCCUGACAAAUUGUCCAUGAAGGUAAUGUAAGUUUGGUAAAUAAUGAAUUCCCAUUCUUCUUUAAUUCUAACUCAAAGGAGCCAGUGAAGAGAAGCCAGGAUUGGGAUAAUGUCAUGUAUUAAAACCAGUGAUAGGUUGAUGCCAGAGAGGAGAGAGUUACGCGCCUGGUGUCCUGCACUCCUCCACCUGCCCAUCUCCGCCCAAUCAUUUUAGACAUCUGCUUCAUCAACGCAUCAUUCUAUCAGCAACCACCACCACCAGUGUCUGUACUCCAUGGGGCGGAUAUAUCUUGGUGCUCAGGGGAACGGCCCUGUGAAGUGCAAGCGGCAACAACUCUGUCAAGACUGUCAUCGCAUAUCAUCUGUUAAUAAU
ensembl:lncRNA